rnacentral:rRNA from 1 species
UACGGAGGGAGCAAGCGUUGUCCGGAUUUAUUGGGUUUAAAGGGUGCGUAGGCGGCCCGUUAAGUCAGCGGUGAAAGCCCGGGGCUCAACCCCGGAACCGCCGUUGAUACUGGCGGGCUUGAGUAUGGACGAGGUUGGCGGAAUUGAGGGUGUAGCGGUGAAAUGCUUAGAUACCCUCAAGAACACCGAUUGCGUAGGCAGCUAACUAGGCCAUAACUGACGCUGAGGCACGAAAGCGUGGGGAGCGAACAGG